rnacentral:rRNA from 1 species
UACGGAGGGUGCAAGCGUUGUCCGGAUUCAUUGGGUUUAAAGGGUGCGCAGGCGGGACAUUAAGUCAGGGGGGAAAGACGGUUGCUCAACAAUCGCAGUGCCUUUGAUACUGGUGUUCUUGGGUGACGGUGAGGUAGGCGGAAUGGGUGGUGUAGCGGUGAAAUGCAUAGAUACCACCCAGAACUCCGAUUGCGAAGGCAGCCUACUGGUCGUUAACCGACGCUCAGGCACGAAAGCGUGGGGAUCAAACAGG